UUAUUUCAAACAAAUCAGUUCAAUUUCAAGUUCGACCAACGAGGUCCAUCAGUUAAGUUCAAAUUCUAAUUUCAACAGUUAAGUUUGCUUAAAUAAAUUUAAAUACAAGUAAAUAUCUGUAUUUAAAACCGUAGUGCAAAUUCCGUUAAAUCCGAAACCUUUCACCAGCGUUGGCAACUAGGCGCCACGCAUCCAAGGCCAGAGCUCCUAACAAGGAAGGAGCUCAAAAAUAAAGUCCCCUCUUCUGGAGCUAACGAUGGAGAAUGGAUGGCGCUUUCGGUGUGUCGGCCAUAACGAUUGGAACGAAUGUUGUUGUUUCUUGAACUCGUGGUCUACCCAUUCCCGGAAGCGAAUAACACGGGACCAGGUACCACUGUCAAGUGGAAUAGGCUUCAGCACGAGUGGCAUCCCAAUUUUGUACGACACGAAAGUGAGGAAUCUUAUAUUUCUUCCACGAGGAUGGAGUUAAACCCCUUUCAAGCUAAUACCUCUCAACUUCAAUUCCGCUAAUUAGGCAACUUUUUCGUCAGAAACAUCUGGUAAGAUGCCUGAAAGGUAUAGCCUAAAUUUUUCGGAUUCUUACUCCGGUGCAACCAGAUUCGUAUCCUCGAUCCUCGUAUUCGUUAUAUUUCGCCAUCUUGACACACUGUGAAUUAACGCUGCGGCAUAUCAAAAAACAAAAAAAAACAACCUUUUUUGCAGAAAAUUGA